rnacentral:rRNA from 1 species
AUUGAACGCUGGCGGCAUGCUUUACACAUGCAAGUCGAACGGUAACAGCACUUCGGUGUCUGCCGAGUGGCGAACGGGUGAGUAAUACAUCGGAACGUGCCUAGUAGUGGUUGAUAACUACGCGUAAGGUUAGCUAAUACCCCAUGAUAUCUAAUGCUGAAAGCGGGUGACCUUCGGGCCUCUCCCUACUAUAGCCGCUGAUGUCAGAUGAGGUAGGUGUUGGGAUAAAGGCUGACCAAGCCGACGCACUGUAGCUGGUCUGAGAGGACGAACAGCCACACUGGGACUGAGACACGGUCCAGACUCCUACGGGAGGCAGCAGGGGGGAAUAUUGGACAAUGGGCGCAAGCCUGAUCCAGCCAUACCGCGUGGGAGAAGAAGGCCUUCGGGGUGUAAAGCCCUUUUGUUGGGAAAGAAAAGCACCAGGUUAAAAACCGGGGGUUCAGAAGGUACCCAAAGAAAAAGCACCGGGUAACUUCGUG